GUACUGGAAUGUGGCACCCGUAACCCCAACUUAUGGACUAUCAGGAAUCCUGAACUUACUUUGGGAAAUGUGGCAACCUUUGGCG
rnacentral:rRNA from 1 species